rfam:Cryptococcus dejecticola CBS 10117 unplaced genomic scaffold supercont1.2, whole genome shotgun sequence.
UGCCCCAUGGCCAAGCUGGUUAAGGCAUCCGACUGUUAGCGAUUUGUCCCCAAUGGGUUCGAAGCGUCGGCAUAUCGGAAGAUCGACGGUUCGAUCCCGUCUGGGGCAG